UGAGAAUCAGCACUUCUAACAGCUCAGGGGAAGAAUGUGAAAACGACCAGUCUCAUUUCACAGCCCCCAAAGGCCAGAGGUGAGUAAAGAGCACAGGAGAAACAAGAUGGUGUCACAGCUGCUCCUGGGGAGAGAAACAAAACAGCUAAUGAAAUUAGACUGCUGCAUUUCUAAGUCCGAGCACAAGAUCGUUUCCCUGUGUCACUUCUCCAUGGAGAUAAGAGAGGAAGGGAGAGAACGCACUUCUGGAUAUUCAUGCUGCUACGGCAGGAUCAGGGGUGAUGAUGUUGGUGCAAGCAGGAGAAGAAGAAAGAGAGUGGAGCGGCUGGAAUUGCAGUACAGAUACCGCUGAGCUUUCCCUAAAAGGAUGGCAGAGUAGAGCAAGGAGACUGUGUUCAGGUUCCCCUUACCAAUGGAAACAAAUUCACAGAGGAGUGAGGAAGCCAUGAUCCAAAGCGGGCCUGAUGGUCCAGAACAGAGUUACUACAAAAUCUCCUGAAGGCUGAGAAAAAAUAUUCACUCCCCACCCCUCAAUUAAAUAUUUCUUAGAAGCUAAUUCCUCCUCCACUCACCCCCAGCACCAGUCCCAUAUAUAUGGAUCUCAUGUAGGAGGAGUCCAUGGGGAUAGGAAAAAGAGGACUCCUCUCCCCUUGUAGGGCAGAAUGACAACCGCGCUAUUACAUGUCCACCACUGCAACCCAGAGCUUGCUGUAGCUCCACCUAGAGUAGGGUUGCAUUCUCAAGGAGGAACAGUGGCCCAUUCAGCGGCAGAUAUACCCACCUCACCCAUACACCUCUACAGGCCCACUCUGCCCUGGCUCCUGAGUGCUACUGCACUGGAAGCACUCACGAUGCUGGGGUCUCACAGGGAAAGCAUGGACCGCUUCAUAUGGCCCCAGAUUCUAUUCUCUGUAUACCACAUGUGGGGCCAUCCUCAGCAGUGGAGUCAUCUGCAAUCAUGGAGGGGGGAUGAUUUGCCACUAAAGAUAAAGGAAAGAGGGAAAUGUCAAAUUAAGGUCCCUGAUCAAUUAUGAUCAUUAAUGAUUCCACAGCACUUUUCAGAAGUGUACGGGUGAUAGACUUACUACUAAACCCUGGUGGUCCUGCACAAACUUCCCUCUGGCCUCCCAAAUUGCCCUUGCUUUAUCAAUUGUAUGUGAUGUAUGUUUUCCCGUUCUGGUCCUAAACAACUGCCAUGUUCCACCCCAGAAUUGACAGUUAUAUGCAGUACACGCAGCAUAUAUUUUCUUUUGAGUUCCCUUAAGGUGAGGGAAAAGCUCAUGCUUGGAGGAACUGAGGAUCCUCUACUGCAGAAAUCCCCUCAGAAUUGUUAGCUGAUCUCUUAAGAGUCCAUUCAGUGCUGUCUGUCAUCACUGAGCAUAAGCACAAUUGCCAUAUGCAUUUCUCACAUUCAUCACAGAGAGCUCAAGAGCCCUGGCAGAAAUUCAGUUGACACCAGGAAUUUGUUCUCAUCAAAUAUAUAAAAAAAACCUGCCUUCAGGUCCUUUUCUUUUUGCAUGGGACUCUAAGUGGAUACCAUGUAACUGGUAAUUAUUUAGCAAUCAAUGUGCAGUCUUAAUUGCUUCUCCCUCAGCUGUGUCAAAACCACAGAAUUUCAGCCUGGAGGAAGGUUUUGUGCAUAUUCGGAGAACUGAUUCCCUACUGUAUGACAUGUCAUAUUAAUUUCUCCUGGUGCUGUCACAGCUUCCUUGGAAAUCAGGAUUAUGGACAAAUUAAAACAAUAAUAAUAAUGAAAUGCUGCAAUUUAAGGCUAGAUAAUGGUAAAAUUAGUGACUGAUGAACAUGUUUCUCCACAUUAGCCAUAUAUAUAAAUAUGCUAAAAUUAGCCUAAAGAUAUCCGUAAAAGAGGGUUUGAUUUCUUGGGAGGUAACUGGGUAGUUCCCACUUGUGAUUGGGUCAGAAAUAUGUUGGGGACAUCCUUUCUCAUAGUAUUAUGGGUUAUGAUCCCAA